AACGAACGCUGGCGGCAUGCCUAACACAUGCAAGUCGAACGAAGGCUUCGGCCUUAGUGGCGCACGGGUGCGUAACGCGUGGGAAUCUGCCCCUUGGUUCGGAAUAACAGUGAGAAAUUACUGCUAAUACCGGAUGAUGACGUAAGUCCAAAGAUUUAUCGCCGAGGGAUGAGCCCGCGUAGGAUUAGCUAGUUGGUAGGGUAAAGGCCUACCAAGGCGACGAUCCUUAGCUGGUCUGAGAGGAUGAUCAGCCACACUGGGACUGAGACACGGCCCAGACUCCUACGGGAGGCAGCAGUGGGGAAUAUUGGACAAUGGGCGAAAGCCUGAUCCAGCAAUGCCGCGUGAGUGAUGAAGGCCUUAGGGUUGUAAAGCUCUUUUACCCGGGAUGAUAAUGACAGUACCGGGAGAAUAAGCUCCGGCUAACUCCGUGCCAGCAGCCGCCGUAAGAC
rnacentral:rRNA from 1 species